rnacentral:rRNA from 1 species
GUGGGGAAUAUUGGACAAUGGGCGCAAGCCUGAUCCAGCCAUGCAGCGUGAGUGAUGAAGGCCUUAGGGUUGUAAAGCUCUUUCAGUGGGGACGAUAAUGACGGUACCCACAGAAGAAGCCCCGGCUAACUCCGUGCUAGCAGCCGCGGUAAUACGAAGGGGGCUAGCGUUGUUCGGAUUUACUGGGCGUAAAGCGCACGUAGGCGGAUCGUUAAGUCGGGGGUGAAAUCCUGGAGCUCAACUCCAGAACUGCCUUCGAUACUGGCGAUCUUGAGUCCGGAAGAGGUGAGUGGAACUCCUAGUGUAGAGGUGGAAUUUGUAGAUAUUAGGAAGAACACCAGUGGCGGAGGCGGCUCACUGGUCCGGUACUGACGCUGAGGUGCGAAAGCGUGGGGAGCAAACAGGAUUAGAUACCCUAGUAGUCC